GGGGUUGUGGCUCAAUGGUAGAGUGCUUGCCUAGCGUGCAGGAGGCACGGGGCUCGAUCCUCAGCACCA
rnacentral:tRNA from 1 species